GUUAACAUUAUAACCCUUGGCAUUUUUAAGGUAAGAGUUUGUCUAGUUCAAUUACAUCACAGACCCUCCACAAAUCAUCUUUCUUCAUCUUCUGGAGCUUGUCCUUCAAUUUCAAUUUUCCCUUGAGUUUUUUCUCCUCUUCUUCACCCCAAACAAACCCUGAAAACUGCAAAACAUCCCUCUUAAAAUGAUAAGCAUUUCCGCGCCUUCCAUAAAGAAGACUGUGAAUGAUUUCCAGCAUUUCAUCACCUCUGGCCUAUCCAGCGGAUUAGUAGGCGUUGAAAGUAAAUCCUCGGUUUUCUCUUCUCUGAAUUCUUCAGCCAUGUCGAGAUUUGAACCUGUGAAAGCUCAAACCCUGGAAUUAAAUACCUCUUGUAGCUUCGUUCAACGAAUCGGCAUCAAAUAUGGAGAUACAUGUUCGAAUUCAAAAUUUAUGAAGAGGCAAAACGGAGGAUCAGAAAAUAGCAAUUGAAUGAAAUCAAAUUCCCUCUUCCAGGUAUUCAGCAAAUGUUGGGAUUACAGUUGCAGUUGCAAGCUACAGUAGGUAAUGGUACGUGUUGUUAGGAAUGCUGAAAGAGAGGAGAAAACUUUGCAUUGGAUCUAAGUUCUUUGGCAUAAUAUACUGGACUAGGAGCCAUUCAUGACACUGGCAUUGGAUUCAUGGGUGGGCCCAUUUCUCAUGCUGGCAUUAGCACUUCUCACAGGCCAUUGACAACAGAGGAUUACUGAGCUGCAUCAUCAACUUAGGUUUUUCCUUUUGCCCUUUUCUUUUUCCUUAUUUAAAAACUUAGGGUGUGGAAUUUUGUCUUUUGCAUGUGUUUUUGUAUUUAUUUUAUUUUAUUUUAUUUUAAGUACUUUUUUGUCAAAUUGUUAUGAUUGACAAUCAACCUCUAGGAUUUUCCAUGGAUGGUAAUAAUUAC